UAUAAGUGUUAUACAGCGAAACUGCGAAUGGCUCAUUAAAACAGUUAUAGUUUAUUUGAUAAUCGAAUUUACAUGGAUAACCGUGGUAAUUCUAGAGCUAAUACAUGCUGGUAUGCCCGACUUUUGCGGAAGGGCGGUAUUUAUUAGAUAACAAGCCAAUAUUCCUCUGGUCUAUUGUGGUGACUCAUAAUAACUGAUCGAAUCGCAAGGCCUUUGGCCGCGAUAAAUCAUUCAAGUUUCUGCCCCAUCAGCUUUCGAUGGUAGUGUAUUGGACUACCAUGGCGUUUACGGGUAACGGAGGAUUAGGGUUCGAUUCCGGAGAGGGAGCCUGAGAAACGGCUACCACAUCUAAGGAAGGCAGCAGGCGCGUAAAUUACCCAAUCCUGACUCAGGGAGGUAGUGACAAGAAAUAACGGACCGGUUCCUUCGGAUUCGGGAUUGCAAUGAGCCGAAUUUACACCCCUUAGCGAGGAUCGAUUGGAGGGCAAGUCUGGUGCCAGCAGCCGCGGUAAUUCCAGCUCCAAUAGCGUAUAUUAAAGUUGUUGCAGUUAAAAAGCUCGUAGUUGGAUUUCUGGGAGGGUGCCAAUGUCCGUCGUCGUACGUGUUGCAGCGGCGCCCUUCCAUCCUUCUGUUAACGACUUUGGGCAUUCAUUUGCCGGAGUCGGGCUCAGAUAUUUUACCUUGAGAAAAUUAGAGUGUUUCAGGCAGGCUAGGCCGGAAUACAUUAGCAUGGAAUAAUGGAAUAGGACUACGGUCUCUUUGUUGGUUUGAGGGACUGCAGUAAUGAUU
rnacentral:rRNA from 1 species